ACGGGAGGCAGCAGUGGGGAAUAUUGGACAAUGGGGGAAACCCUGAUCCAGCGACGCCGCGUGAGUGAAGAAGUAUUUCGGUAUGUAAAGCUCUUUAAGCAGGGAAGAUAAUGACGGUACCUGCAGAAUAAGCCCCGGCUAACUACGUGCCAGCAGCCGCGGUAAUACGUAGGGGGCAAGCGUUAUCCGGAUUUACUGGGUGUAAAGGGAGCGUAGACGGUAUGGCAAGUCUGAAGUGAAAUGCAUGGGCUCAACCCAUGAACUGCUUUGGAAACUGUCAAACUAGAGUGCAGGAGAGGUAAGUGGAAUUCCUAGUGUAGCGGUGAAAUGCGUAGAUAUUAGGAGGAACACCGGUGGCGAAGGCGGCUUACUGGACUGUAACUGACGUUGAGGCUCGAAAGCGUGGGGAGCAAACAGGAUUAGAUACCCUGGUA
rnacentral:rRNA from 1 species